UACGGGGGGGCAAGCGUUGUUCGGAAUUACUGGGCGUAAAGGGCUCGUAGGCGGCCAACUAAGUCAGACGUGAAAUCCCUCGGCUUAACCGGGGAACUGCGUCUGAUACUGGAUGGCUUGAGGUUGGGAGAGGGAUGCGGAAUUCCAGGUGUAGCGGUGAAAUGCGUAGAUAUCUGGAGGAACACCGGUGGCGAAGGCGGCAUCCUGGACCAAUUCUGACGCUGAGGCACGAAGG
rnacentral:rRNA from 1 species